rnacentral:rRNA from 1 species
CACGGGGGGAACGAGCGUUGUUCGGAUUUACUGGGCGUAAAGGGUGCGUAGGCGGGUUGGCAAGUCGGGUGUGAAAUUCCAUGGCUUAACCAUGGAUCUGCAUUCGAAACUGCCGGUCUUGAGUACUGGAGAGGUGAGUGGAAUUCCCGGUGUAGCGGUGAAAUGCGUAGAUAUCGGGAGGAACGCCGUUGGCGAAGGCGGCUCACUGGACAGAUACUGACGCUGAGGGACGAAGGUCGGGGGAGCAAACAGG